ACCCAUAUAUCUUUAUAUUUUUUUAGCAAAUGCUCGUUCGGUUUUAGGUUGGGGUGACCAUGGAGUAAAAAAUAACCUCCACGAAAAAAGGCAUAAAACCCUUAUCAAAGAGCCACAUCUCUAUGAAUUAGUAAACUAAUUUCUGAUGAUCCGAUAUUCGAUCAACGAACCAAGUUACCCUGGGGAUAACAGCGCAAUCCGCCUUAAGAGCCCCUAUCGACAGGCGGGUUUACGACCUCGAUGUUGGAUCAGGGUAUCCCAGUGGUGCAACAGCUACUAAAGGUUCGUUUGUUCAACGAUUAA
rnacentral:rRNA from 1 species